CAUAUCCAUUGAUAUGUUAUUUAUGUCCACACACAAGUAACCCAGUAAGCUUGCCUAACAAUCAAAAUGGUUAUCUCCAGGACCCCUCAAGCCAUCGCAGCGCUACUCCUCCUACUUCUCAUCACCUCCUCCGAGGUUGCCACUGCCACCACCACCGCCGCCAAAGCAUUUCCAGCAAUUACACUUGGACGGAGAGCUCUUUACAUACCCGAGGGAAUUAGAAGGAUACUUCAAGGAAAUGGUUAUCCUCCAACAUAUGGAGAUUGGCCUGGUACAGGAGGUUGAUUCACCAGCCCCUACCUGGCUCUGCCUUAUUCAAUAUUCCAAACAAGCCCUCGACGAGCAUUUUAUGCACUUUUUAUGUAUUGAAUAAGAAUAUUGAAGGGAAAGAGUCCUAUGUAUAAUUAAUUACACAUCAAUGUUGUUAUUUUCUGCAUAAAUAUAUACUAGCUAUUAUUCGCAACAGGAAUAAA